UACGGAGGGGGCGAGCGUUAUUCGGAAUUAUUGGGCGUAAAGGGCGCGUAGGCGGCCCGGUAAGUCAAAGGUGAAAUCCCUCGGCUCAACUGAGGAACUGCCUUUGAAACUGUCGGGCUUGAGGCCGGGAGGGGGUAGCGGAAUUCCCAGUGUAGCGGUGAAAUGCGUAGAUAUUGGGAGGAACACCAGUGGCGAAGGCG
rnacentral:rRNA from 1 species